rnacentral:rRNA from 1 species
UACGGAGGGUGCGAGCGUUGUUCGGAAUCACUGGGCGUAAAGGGCGCGUAGGUGGCCUGAUGAGUCAACGGUGAAAGCUCGUCGCUUAACGCCGAGUCGGCCGUCGAUACUGUCGGGCUGGAGCACUGUAGAGGCAGAUGGAAUUCCGGGUGUAGCGGUGGAAUGCGUAGAGAUCCGGAAGAACACCGGUGGCGAAGGCGGCUCUCUGGAACGCAACUGACGCUGAGACGCGAAAGCGUGGGGAGCAAACAGG